UACAGAGGGUGCGAGCGUUAAUCGGAAUUACUGGGCGUAAAGCGUGCGUAGACGGCUAUCUAAGUCGGGUGUGAAAGCCCCGGGCUCAACCUGGGAAUUGCAUUCGAGACUGAAUAGCUAGGGUACGGUAGAGGGAAGCGGAAUUUCCGGUGUAGCGGUGAAAUGCGCAGAUAUCAGGAGGAACACCGGUGGCGAAGGCGGCACUCUGGGCCGAUACUGACGCUGAGGAGCGAAAGCGUGGGGAGCGAACAGG
rnacentral:rRNA from 1 species